rnacentral:tRNA from 1 species
GACCCCUUCGUCUAGUGGCCUAGGACAUCGCCCUUUCACGGCGAAAACACGGGUUCGAGUCCCGUAGGGGUCA